rfam:Oryza nivara chromosome 3, whole genome shotgun sequence.
AAUAAGUGCAUUUUUACAUAAUUCACGUUUAACGUUUGACCGUUCUUCUUAUUUAAAAUUUUUUAUGAUUAGCAUUUCUAUUGCUAUUAGAUGAUAAAAUAUGAAUAGUACUUUAUGUGUGACUAAAUAUUUUUAAUUUUUUUAUAAAAUUUUCAAAUAAGACGGACGGUCAAACAUUGGAUAUAGAUAUCCACAGCUGUAUUUAUU